UCUACGGGUGGCUGCAGUGAGGAAUAUUGGUCAAUGGGCGCGAGCCUGAACCAGCCAAGUAGCGUGAAGGAUGCCUGCCCUACGGGUUGUAAACUUCUUUUAUACGGGAAUAAAGUGCGGCACGUGUACCUCUUUGUAUGUACUUUCUGAAUAAGGAUCGGCUAACUCCGUGCCAGCAGCCUCGGUAAUACGGAGGAUCCGAGCGUUAUCCGGAUGUAUUGGGUUUAAAGGGAGCGUGGAUGGGGUGUUAAGUCAGUUGUGAAAGUUUGCGGCUCAACCGUAAAAUUGCAGUUGAUACUGGCAGUCGUGAGUACAGUUGAGGUAGGCGGAAUUCGUGGUGUAGCGGUGAAAUGCUUAGAUAUCACGAAGAACUCCGAUUGCGAAGGCAGCUUACUAAACUGUAACUGACAUUGAUGCUCGAAAGUGUGGGUAUCAAACAGGAUUAGAUACCCCAGUAGUC
rnacentral:rRNA from 1 species